CCUACGGGCGGGCAGCAGUGGGGAAUAUUGGACAAUGGGGGCAACCCUGAUCCAGCCAUGCCGCGUGUGUGAAGAAGGCCCUCGGGUUGUAAAGCACUUUCAGUGAGGAAGAACGCCUGGUGGUUAAUACCCAUCAGGAAAGACAUCACUCACAGAAGAAGCACCGGCUAACUCCGUGCCAGCAGCCGCGGUAAUACGGAGGGUGCGAGCGUUAAUCGGAAUUACUGGGCGUAAAGCGCGCGUAGGUGGCUUGAUAAGCCGGUUGUGAAAGCCCCGGGCUCAACCUGGGAACGGCAUCCGGAACUGUCAAGCUAGAGUGCAGGAGAGGAAGGUAGAAUUCCCGGUGUAGCGGUGAAAUGCGUAGAGAUCGGGAGGAAUACCAGUGGCGAAGGCGGCCUUCUGGACUGACACUGACACUGAGGUGCGAAAGCGUGGGUAGCAAACAGGAUUAGAUACCCUAGUAGUC
rnacentral:rRNA from 1 species